ensembl:snoRNA SNORA62 Small nucleolar RNA SNORA62/SNORA6 family
CCUGUACAUUGUUAGAGCUUGAAUUUGAGGCUGCUGGUGGCCAGUGAACUUACAGGUGUAUGUAAUGUGCUACAGGGGGGGAGGCUCUUUGCUAACACUGAGAGGGUCUCUGGCUCAAUGAAUGGAAUUUGAUAGUAAUUGUGGCUACAAGC